AACAGCUGGCGGCGUGCUUAACACAUGCAAGUCGAGCGGUAAGGCUCCUUCGGGAGUACACGAGCGGCGAACGGGUGAGUAACACGUGAGCAAUCUGCCCUCCACACGGGGAUAACUCCGGGAAACCGGUGCUAAUACCCGAUACGACCACCUCAGGCAUCUGAUGGUGGUGGAAAGUUCCGGCGGUGGAGGAUGAGCUCGCGGCCUAUCAGCUUGUUGGUGGGGUAACGGCCCACCAAGGCAACGACGGGUAGCCGGCCUGAGAGGGUGACCGGCCACACUGGGACUGAGACACGGCCCAGACUCCUACGGGAGGCAGCAGUGGGGAAUAUUGGACAAUGGGCGAAAGCCUGAUCCAGCAACGCCGCGUGAGGGAUGACGGCCUUCGGGUUGUAAACCUCUUUCAGUAGGGACGAAGCGCAAGUGACGGUACCUACAGAAGAAGCACCGGCCAACUACGUGCCAGCAGCCGCGGUAAUACGUAGGGUGCGAGCGUUGUCCGGAAUUAUUGGGCGUAAAGGGCUCGUAGGCGGUUUGUCGCGUCGAAAGUGAAAACUCAGGGCUUAACCCUGAGUCUGCUUCCGAUACGGGCAGACUAGAGGUAUGCAGGGGAGAACGGAAUUCCUGGUGUAGCGGUGAAAUGCGCAGAUAUCAGGAGGAACACCGGUGGCCGAAGGCGGUUCUCUGGGCAUUACCUGACGCUGAGGAGCGAAAGUGUGGGGAGCGAACAGGAUU
rnacentral:rRNA from 1 species